UCUUCUAAAAUUUUUGGUUUUUAUAUAAUUUUGCAGAAUUAAAAACUAAAUAACUGAUUUCCCAACAUCUCCCGCACAAAUACAAAAAUGAUAUUUAGUUUUUGUGGUGCUUCAAAAUGUUUGACUAAGUAUCUUUGAUUGAACUAUAAUUAUGUUGAGAAUUCAAAUUUGUGGUGCUUGAAAAUGUAACCAUCUUUGAUAAAAAUGGUUGAAAAUACUAAAAGUGGAACUGGGCUCUUGAUUUUUUAUCUUUGUAAAUAAUCUACUCUUUUGAAUCUUUGCAUAAUGCAUUAAGGAAUAAUGUUUGUAAUUCUGUCACAGGUUUUUGCAAAUAUGGGUGUUACACUAGAUGGAGUCAACAAGUCCAUACUAGACUCAUUUUAUCAAAGUUAUCCAGAUUUGUUGGAGAUUUUGGCUUUCAACCUCUUAAACUUCAAGUGAAUCCUGAUGCUGCUAGAGAAAUUAUAGAGCACUAAGGAAAAAUAGAAGGGUAAAAUUGUGAAUCUGAUUCAAAUGGAAGAUGUUUAUGUACCUAGCUCCAUUGUACAAAUUUUACAACCACCACCACUCUAGUGGUUAUCAAUGUUCCAGUAGGACUAAGGGGGAAAAUAUUAUAUUUUGGCCUGAGGUCGAGCAACAAAAAAAUGGAAUUGCUUCGGAAGGGUAUUAAAAGUUGUUACUAGUAUUUCUUUAUUAAAGACCACCAUCAAAUUUAUAUCUUUUGGCUGCAGACUGAGGUUCAAAUACUUUCGAUUGAAGAGAAAAGAUUGGACGAAAGCAUCACAUCAUUUGAUUCAACAUUAUUUUUGAUGUUUUUUACUGUUAAUAUAUAUGAUUAAACUUCUAAUGUUUGUGUUUUUCCUGACUUUUCCAUAAUGGAAUGUUCACUUCUAUUCCAUUCUUUUUAGGAAUUAAUACACUUGGAUAAAACCAUUUGGUGUUAAAAGCACAGGAGUAUCCAUAUUUAGCAAAGUCUGAUACAUUCCCAAGUAAUUAAAGGUUGUAUUUAAGGAGAAAAUUUUAAUUACGUGUUAAAUGACUUGGUGUCCAUAUUUGUAGCUUGUAUAAGCUGCUGAUUCGUAAAAGUCUGGAGUUUUGUGGCUUGCAUAGUAAUGUAACCCAAAGAAACAA